CGAACGGGUGAGUAACACGUGAGCAACCUGCCCCGAAGACCGGGAUAACAUCGGGAAACCGGUGCUAAUACCGGAUGCCCUCACCGGGCCGCAUGACCUGGUGAGGAAAUGAAUUUCGCUUCGGGAGGGGCUCGCGGGCUAUCAGCUUGUUGGUGAGGUAACGGCCCACCAAGGCUACGACGGCUAGCUGGUCUGAGAGGACGACCAGCCACACUGGGACUGAGACACGGCCCAG
rnacentral:rRNA from 1 species